UAUUUCCUACGGGGCGCAGCAGUAGGGAAUAUUGCUCAAUGGGGGAAACCCUGAAGCAGCAACGCCGCGUGAAGGAAGAAGGCUUUCGGGUUGUAAACUUCUUUUAUCAGGGACGAAGCAAGUGACGGUACCUGAUGAAUAAGCCACGGCUAACUACGUGCCAGCAGCCGCGGUAAUACGUAGGUGGCAAGCGUUAUCCGGAUUUACUGGGUGUAAAGGGCGUGUAGGCGGGAGUGCAAGUCAGAUGUGAAAACUAUGGGCUCAACCCAUAGCCUGCAUUUGAAACUGUACUUCUUGAGUGCUGG
rnacentral:rRNA from 1 species